AUCCCCCCCCCCCCCCCCUCCGACUACCUCUUCCUCCUACACGCCGAAGUUGCAGCCGCCAUGGCCAUCGCCGUCGUCACGGCCAACGGCCUCCCCGUGCUAUGAGACCUCGUCCAUGUCCUCCGUCGUCGACCACUACCUUGACUACGACCACCAGGAGCACUGCAUCGCCGGGAUCCACGCCGUCUUCCUCGCCCACGGCCACCGCUACGUCGCCCGAUCUACCUCACCGGAGCUCCUUCACCCCGCCGAACGCGUCCUCCGCCGUUACCUAUGAUGGGGCCCAGGAUGGUGUAUCCCGUAGACGACGCCUACUACCUCGACGAUGUCGACUACUAUGUGGAGGCCGCUGACGACCAGGAGUAGUUUAGGUGGUUCCCAGGCAGGAGACCUCGCCUAGUUUGAUCGAUGUAUCAUAUGUGCUAGCCUUUUGUAAGGCAUUAUCCUUGUUGUAUGUUUAUACUCGAAUAUUGUUGCUUCUGUUGACUCAUGUGUUUCUCGAGUUUCUGUAUUCUAUCCCUCGAGGCGCCUGGCUUGUAAUAUGAAGCUUGUAUGUUUUUAUUUGUGUUUA